CCGAGGGCGCUGGGCGGGGAAGGCGCGUGCUCUUUCGCGGGCAAACACAGGUGCGAGCGCUCGGCUGGUUUCCCAGCUCGCGCAGCGGUUGCCAUGGAGACGGCCGCGGCGCGGGAAACGGCUCAUCAGGGCCAGGUGGGCCUCGGCCGCACAGGCCUGGAGGAAUGGAUGGAUGGACAGACGGAUGAAUGGACGGACGGAUGGACAGACAGACAGACAGACAUGUGGAGGCUACCACAAUACGUGUCUGCGGAAACAGCAUCCUACCCACGCAGAAGAGGAACUGGGCUUGCAUCAGUAUAAUACCCACCAUCUUGUCCAUUCUGAUUCCUGCUUUGUGGAUGUUAACGAAGGAAAGAGGAACUGUCAAAAUGGGGUUCUAUUAAGGCUUCCUAAAUGUGAACCUUCAAUCAGAGUCCUGAAUUGAUAAAUCAUUUCUAGGAAACCGGAGGUGAGGUGACUGAAUAAGCCUGAACUGCAACAAAAUGUUAACUAUCUGGGGUUAUAUUUAUCUUUAUUUGUACAUGGAUGACACCUAGAUUCUCAGGAUCAUAAGGAUGUUGUAUGUGUUUCUGUAUUCCUCUAUAAAUUUCUUACAGCUGUUUCCUGUAAUUUCCCAAAAUUGAUUAUUCCCUUCACUGAUUAGCUACUUUCCACUCUUCACAUCUGUCUCUGUAAAUUGCAGAAGAGAUUGUAUUUUAGUGGGAGAAGAGAUCAUUAUAAACCUACAGGGAGAUUUAUUUAUUCACUGUAAAUUAGCAUUUCUUCUGAAUUUUGGUUUUCAGUCAACUUCUUGGAGCUAACAUCUGAAAUAUAGUGAAUAUUGGCUGCCAUAUAUGAUGGUUGACAGUCUCGGAUGCAUUUUGUGAGUGAAAUAUUCUUUCCAAGUUUCCAGAGAUAUACAGCAUGUGUGAAUCUUAACUGUUACAUUUUAUCUGCCUAUCAACAUUCACAAGAAUAUUUUGGUGUUUUUUUGUGGGACAUUGAACAGAACUGAACAGCUAAUAUUGGCUAUUAUAAAUUAAUUUCCUUGUCCUUUUAUAUUCUUCAAUUAAAUCAGUUUUGCAUUUUCUUAUAGUAGUUCCAAAACCUGAAAUCAGGUAGUUGUAAUCUGAAUAAAAUUAAUUAGAGAUUACUGUUUCUUAUUUUAAAUUUACUUGCAAAGUUUCUAUCCUGUUCACCAUAAACUCCGGAUGGUUAAUCUUAAAAAGUCUUAAAAGUAAGAUAAAAGCCAAUAAUUUAGUAUAUCAAGAAUAAACAAUAAUAACAUUAAUUUGGCAGUGUUGGGCUUCAGGUUUUAUUGACCAUGAAGCUCAACAUUGUCCAACAAAUAUUAGCCAUGAAAGCCUACAUCAGGGGUCUUCAAACCUGGCCCUUUGAUGACUUGUGGACAUGUGCCUGGCUGAGGAAUUCUGGGAGUUGAAGUCCACAAGUCAUC